UACGUUGGGAGCAAGCGUUGUUCGGAUUUACUGGGCGUAAAGGGCGCGUAGGCGGCCAGUGCAAGUCAGUUGUGAAAUCUCCGAGCUUAACUCGGAAAGGUCAACUGAUACUGCUCGGCUAGAGUGCGGAAGGGGCAACUGGAAUUCUUGGUGUAGCGGUGAAAUGCGUAGAUAUCAAGAGGAACACCUGCGGCGAAGGCGGGUUGCUGGGCCGACACUGACGCUGAGGCGCGAAAGCUAGGGGAGCGAACGGG
rnacentral:rRNA from 1 species